rnacentral:rRNA from 1 species
GACAGAGGUGCCAAGCGUUAUGCGGAAUCACUGGGCUUAAAGCGUGUGUAGGCGGAUGCCUAAGUACCUUGUGAAAUCCCCCGGCUCAACCGGGGAACUGCUGGGUAUACUGGGUGUCUUGGGUCAUCUAGGGGCUGCCGGAACAAAUGGUGGAGCGGUGAAAUGCGUAGAUAUCAUUUGGAACGCCAACGGCGAAAGCAGGCAGCUGGGGAUGCACCGACGCUGAGACACGAAAGCCAGGGGAGCGAACGGG